rnacentral:rRNA from 1 species
AGCGAACGCUGGCGGCAGGCCUAACACAUGCAAGUCGAACGAACCUUUCGGGGUUAGUGGCGGACGGGUGAGUAACACGUGGGAACGUGCCUUUAGGUUCGGAAUAACUCAGGGAAACUUGUGCUAAUACCGAAUGUGCCCUUCGGGGGAAAGAUUUAUCGCCUUUAGAGCGGCCCGCGUCUGAUUAGCUAGUUGGUUGAGGUAAUGGCUCACCAAGGCGACGAUCAGUAGCUGGUCUGAGAGGAUGAUCAGCCACAUUGGGACUGAGACACGGCCCAAACUCAGACGGGAGGAAGCAGGGGGGAAUCUGGCGCAAUGGGCGAAAGCCUGACGCAGCCAGGCCGCGGGAAUGAUGAAGGUCUUAGGAUUGUAAAAUUCUUUCACCGGGGACGAUAAUGACGGUACCCGGAGAAGAAGCCCCGGCUAACUUCGG